GGCGUUCCCUGCCCUGCCCGGUCGCCCCUGCCCCUUCCGCAACUCGCUAGUCCGAGUCCGACUGCCGUUAAGCCGCAAACCCAGUCACCGCUUGCUUUUAAAUUGAUGUAUUGCAGAAAUCCAAGCCAUUCAUCAGGUGUGUCCUGGCAUUUAGGACCAGGCCCCAAAAAUCAGCCCAAACCAUAAUGAGGUGGGACCCACCAUAGGAAACAAGACAUUCUAGAUCUCAGGUGGGCCCCACCAUGUGAUUUUACAGGUCGAGUCGAGUGAGCUAACCGAGCUAGCUCGGUUCGUGUACACCCCUAGCUGUUCCAGUCUUCCAGAUGGUGUGGCCUACCUGAACUCUGGAUCCAGCUAAUUUUUGAUGCAUUGUUUGGAUAUUUGACAUGCAAUUGACUGUAUUGUAUAGCAAAAACCAUAUCAACUUAUAUGAUGCAUAUAUUGGUCUAUGUUCCCUAAUGUGUUAUGGUCCUUAUGGAUCAACUUGUACAGGGCAUUCAGCAGACAUUCAAUUUUGUCAACUACUCGUUCCACAUUGAGCAGACAAAAUCAGCUGAAAAUGGCUUCUUCACCCAAGUCUGCCACAAAAGCAUCAAUUAAUGAGCAAUACAAUUUAGAGGAAACUCGUAAGAUGGAAUCCAAGAGAAAACAUGUUCCAGGGAUGGAAGAGGAAGAGAGUGAAGCACCUGGGGACAAGGGUCCAAGACAAAGAAGUUGAUGCUCGAGACCAUCAAGAUCUUCAGAGCAGAGAAAGAUCAUGCUAUGAGUAUUCUUUACUUUGGUCUGCUUUAUUUCUUUAGGGUUGGUUUGGGCAUACCUAAAAAUGUGGGAAAGCCCCUGAGUCCACCUGGAAUGAGAAUGAGAUGACAAUGGGUCCAACCCACUAUUUUCAGGCCAGAUUUCUCAUAUAUUGUCAGGAUUCAUGAUGAAAGUCAUGGCAAAAGUUUCAUGCCUGCUGCCAACGUGAUGCAACCCUCCUUUAUCUGGGCUUGGGACCAGCAAUGAGAGCAUAGAAAUCCCAUAGGCACUAUGUAAUAGUAAAUAUCUUCGCCAUCUAAUAAACCGCCUUGAUUUGUGGACACUUGUUUCUUGAUAUAUGACUAUUUAUCAUUGGAUAUUUUUCACAUGUGGAAGUAGGAACCUCCAAUGUGGUAAGACAAUGUAAAUUCCGCAGGACGCGAAGCCCAUGUCAGUCCUUUGUGGGGCCAAUUCCUCUACUAGCUCACCUACUGAGCCGGAGAAUAAUUUGUUAGGAUAGAGGCUUGGAUGAUGAUUUCACAGAUGGAUCAUUUAUGCGAGAUGAGCCAAAUGUCUCCACUUCUGUAAAUGCACAUGGACCAGGCUUUAUUCCCCUCAAUUCUCGUUUUGGAUACAUCGAAACAGACUCUUAUGCCCCUUAAUCAUCACAGCUAUGUCAAUGUAAGUUUUCAUAGUCUAACAUGUUGUAUGCUUUGUCUUGCAGCUUGAAAAUGCCAUGCAAGAUGUUGUAGCUGAGAAUGUUAUAUUCCCUGGCGAGAUAGGGAGAGAGAUAAGAAGACUUUCAUCACAGGGCACGAUGAUUUGCCGAUGACAUCCAAUGCUGAGAUAGCUGUUCUGAAAAGUCAAGGCAGAGAGAGACCAGCUAGUAGGUUCUUGAUUUGCUUUUGAUUUACUACACGUCUGGAAGUACCUCAGGAAAUGGGGCAGUUGGAAUGUUCCCCUACCAAAAUAAUCUUUGUUCAAGCAGUACUUGAAAUAGUUCUAAAACUCACUGGGUUGACUCAAAACUCGUCCAAGUCAACUCAAUUCGGCACGAUUACGGGGUAAGUUGCUGGGAAACUUGCUACUUAGUCUGACUUGGUCCUGACUUGGGGAUGACUCAUUGAGUUGACUCGACGCAACUCAUGGUGACUCGAACCAAGUCCCUCAGAGAGUUGUAAUGUGAACAUUAAUAAAAUAUAAGCAGGGAGGGAGGGAAUCAAACCCACAACCUCUAUCACAAGAGCAAUGCACCAUUCAGUGUUUAAUUGACGGAAUUUAUGUUUUAUGUUACUUAAUUCUUUUAAACGUCUACUACUGUCCCUAAUUUUUUAACUUUAUAACUAUUAAAUAUCGAGUCUAGCCGACCUAACUGAACAUCGAGUCGAGUUGAGUACUUGAGUUUCAGGUUUUCAAACUAUGCUUGAGACAAACAAACUAUUUUAAAAAGCCUAUUCAGCUUCAUUUUUUAUGCUGUCCUGGACACUGAGCUGGUUCAAAACAAAAUCAUCCCACCGACUGAUUCAACCAAAAGUCGAUUUGGGGUACUUCCAAAAACGGCAUUCAUCUCGGGCACUGCUUGCAUUACUCGGCCCGGCAUCCAGAAGCCUUAGCACAGCAGGAUGGCACAAUGUGUCCCCACAGGAAACAGGUAAUUCGGUUGUUCAGAGCAAGAUCAUGAACUGGAAUGUGCUCAUCAGGAGGUAGCGAUCCUGGAGAAAUCUAACCAGGUCUUGUAUGAUACCAUUGCAAGCUUGAGUACUUCUGUUUAGCAUUUGGGUCGCCUUGAACAUGCCGACGGAGAGGAAUCCAAUUAUAGAUAGGAAAACAGUUGUUGAGAAGAACCUAUGCUUCCUAAUCCAAGUUGGAACGUUAAAACAAUAUGAGAUUCUGAAUUUGUAAACACAGAAAAACUUGUUGUUUUGAUAUGGAUGGACCUUAUAAUGUUAUUCCUACUCUCCUAUCUCUGGAAUAUUGCAUUUCCUGUCAUCUGUACGAAAUUC